rnacentral:rRNA from 1 species
GGACCCGCACAAGCAGUGGAGCAUGUGGUUUAAUUCGAAGAUACGCGCAGAACCUUACCAACGCUUGACAUGUUCGUCGCGACUCUAAGAGAUUAGAGUCUUCGGUUCGGCCGGACGAAACACAGGUGCUGCAUGGCUGUCGUCAGCUCGUGUCGUGAGAUGUUGGGUUAAGUCCCGCAACGAGCGCAACCCCCUACUUUUAGUUGCCACCAUUUAGUUGGGCACUUUAAAAGAACUGCCAGUGAUAAGCUGGAGGAAGGUGGGGAUGACGUCAAGUCCUCAUGGCCCUUAUGUGUUGGGCUACACACGUGCUACAAUGGUACUUACAAUGGGACGCAAAGAGGCGACUCAUAGCCAAUCCCUAAAAUGUACCUCAGUUCGGAUUGUACUCUGUAACUCGAGUGCAUGAAGCUGGAAUUGCUAGUAAUCGC